UCCGCGGGGAAACUAUAAAGGGUGGGGAAACUUGAAAGUUGGAUGCUGCAGACCCGGUACUGGAAAGUUUCAUGUGGGGUGCCGUUGUGGGGAAGUGAGCCCCUUCCCGCUUCAGGUAGCCUGUCAUUAGGGGAAGUUGAGGGACUGUCCCACUUCAGGUGGUGUUGGAGACCGUGGAAUCUGGAGUCCGGUCCCUGGAUUCGAAUGCGAGCUUCACACCAAUUGUCAGCUGUUUAACUUUGCCCAAGUUUCUCAACUCGGUGCCUCGGUAUCCUGUAAAGUAAGGCAUGGGUAGCAAGAAACUAAAACGAGUGGGUUUAUCACAAGAGCUGUGUGACCGUCUGAGUAGACAUCAGAUCCUUACCUGUCAGGACUUUUUAUGUCUUUCCCCACUGGAGCUUAUGAAGAUGACUGGUCUGAGUUAUCGAGGUGUCCAUGAACUUCUACGUAUGGUCAGCAGGGCCUGUGCCCCAAAGAUGCAAACGGCUUAUGAGAUAAAAGCACAAAGGUCUGCUGAUUUCUCACCAGCAUUCUUAUCUACUACCCUUUCUGCUUUGGACGAAGCCCUGCACGGUGGUGUGGCUUGUGGAUCCCUCACAGAGAUUACAGGUCCACCAGGUUGUGGAAAAACUCAGUUUUGUAUAAUGAUGAGCAUUUUGGCUACAUUACCCACCCACAUGGGAGGAUUAGAAGGAGCUGUGGUGUACAUUGACACAGAGUCUGCAUUUAGUGCUGAAAGACUGGUUGAGAUAGCAGAAUCCCGUUUUCCCAGAUAUUUUAACACUGAAGAAAAAUUACUUUUGACAAGUAGUAAAGUUCAUCUUUAUCGGGAACUCACCUGUGAUGAAGUUCUACAAAGGAUUGAAUCUUUGGAAGAAGAAAUUAUCUCAAAAGGAAUUAAACUUGUGAUUAUUGACUCUGUUGCUUCUGUGGUCAGAAAGGAGUUUGAUACACAACUUCAAGGCAAUCUCAAAGAAAGAAACAAGUUCUUGGCAAGAGAAGCAUGCUCCUUGAAGUAUUUGGCUGAGGAGUUUUCCAUCCCAGUUAUCUUGACGAAUCAGAUUACAACCCAUCUGAGUGGAGCCCUGGCUUCUCAGGCAGACCUGGUGUCUCCAACUGAUGAUUUGUCCCUGUCUGAAGGCACUUCUGGAUCCAGCUGUGUGAUAGCUGCACUAGGAAAUACCUGGAGUCACAGUGUGAAUACCCGGCUGAUCCUCCAGUACCUUGAUUCAGAGAGAAGACAGAUUCUUAUUGCCAAGUCCCCUCUGGCUCCCUUCACCUCAUUUGUCUACACCAUCAAGGAGGAAGGCCUGGUUCUUCAAGCCUGUGGAAAUUCCUAGAGACAGAGAAAUGUGCAAACCUGUUCAUCUUGCUGAGAAAAAUCCACUUUACCACCACAGAAACAAAAUAUUGGGAAAGAGUCUUGUGGUGGUGGAUCAUGACCCCUCCUUGAGGCUACGCAGAGAAGCAGUGAUGUUACCAUGGAGAGGAGUGAGCCCCUCACCCACCCAGGUGAGAGGUCUUAUCCUGACUUUUUAGUCACAAUCCAAUGAGAUAUUUUGCAGGGUUAGUGGAUGCAGUAGGUUAAAUGGUGGCUCCAAAAGAGAUACGUCCAUGUCCCUACCCCUAGAACAUGUAAAUAUGGCCUGAUUUGUACAAAGGGUCUUUGCAGAGGUAAUUAAGGAUGUUGCGAUGAGAUCAUCCUGGACUACCCAGGUGGGUCCUAAAUCUAAUGACAAGGGUCCCGGUAAGAGACACAGAGGGGGAAAGUCACGAGGAGGAGGGGGCAGUGUGACCAUAGAGGCAGAGACUGGAGUUAAGCAGCCCCAAGCCAAGGCACACCUGGAGCCACUGGAAGCUGGAAGAGGCGAGGAAGAGGUCUCCCUGAGAGCCUUCAGAGGGAGCCUGGCCCUGCAGACACCUUGAUGUGGGGCUUCUGGCUGCCAGGACUGUAGAGAAUACAUUUCUGUGCUUUUAGGCCACUCUGUUCGUGACACUUUGUUGCUGCAGCCCUAGAAAACUAAUGCAGUGGGGUCGCCCAGAGAGAUGAAAUGACUGGAGAGAGAGAGAGAGAAUGUGGCCAUCUAGAAAACUGAGUUCAGCCCCCGGACUUGCUGCUGGGGUCUGAGGUGAACUUUCCUAAACAUUGUGCUGUGGAGUCUCUUUCCUCUUGCGUUCCUCAUACGUUAACUUCUCAUGGCAGAGAUUGGGGCUCAUGGUUCACCUGAGGAUACUACUAAGGACCAGGGAGGUUUUAUCAGAUCCUCACAUCUAUUUGAAAUAGUGGCAAUAAUAAUGACCACGCUCUAUAGAAUGCUUAACAUGUGUUAGAUAGGUCACAUACAUUAUCUCAUUUAAUCCUCAAAACAAUCCUAUAUGGUUGUUAUUCUCAUCCCCAUCUUACAGAUGAGGAAACUGAAGCUCUGGGAGGUCAUGUAAUCUGCUCAAGGUCAUUUAGCAAAUGCUGGUGGAGCCAGACCUUGACCCCAGGUUUGCCUGUGCUUGAGCCACAGCAUUACAAAAGGCUCAAGCCCCACAGAGGUAGUCGGGCGCAUCCUGUAGCACCCAGCUGUCAGAUGAGAAAGGAUGUAUUUAUUUAUGUAUGUCUUUUAAUAGCAGCACUGGCAUUAGAGUUUCUUUGUCAGUAAGGGUUGGAGUGAUGGGUUGAUUGAGAUGAAGGUUGCUGAGAUGACCUGGUGGGUCCUGCUACCAGCAGAUGGAUGUCAAAACAUUUGCAUUGAGGGGGAGAUAAAGUCAAAACUGGGACGAAUCAACUUUCUCUCAGCUCCAGGGCUCUGAGGUCCUUUCUUGGCUCUCAGCCCUGUCAGGAAAAGAGGAGAACUCCCUGCCACAUGGUCUCUCUGGUGUGAGAAGCUGACAGUCCACUGCUGAGCUUUCCCUGCUUUGCCACAAACAGAGGGCACCUCCCCACACAACUUCCUCUCCUGCUGGAAUGGGAAGAGAGGACACUGGCUAUUAAGAAAAGCUCUGAUGAGCUCCUGUCCUGGGGCAAACUCUGUUUCUGGAGUCCCCUCUUAUAGGGCUAAACUCAGGUGGGCUCUGACUGUUGGGGGUCCCCGUGCCUCUCACAGUCAUGUUUUCAGAGUUUUGGGAGAUCUGGGUUGGUUUCCCUCUUGCCAUGGUUCAUGCUGGCGUGUGGCCAGCAUGGCAGCGUCUCCCCUGCCCUCCCAGAUUUCAGGUUGGAGGGAGUUCAGUUUCAGAGAGACAAUCCACAGGCCUGCAGAUUUCCUCCCAUGCAGACCUCAGUGCAAGAUAAAGUCAGGCAAGGCUGUGCCACAGCACAACAGCAUAAUAAAUCCCCCUCUGGCCUCCUCCCAGACUUAUUGUUCUAUUGCAGUUGUUUUGAGUAUGAUCAAAAGGAAGGAAGAGACUGUGCUAUCAGACUGAGGAAGAAGGAUGCUCUCCUGACCGCUCCUGUUGCCCUUGGCCACCCUUAUUUUAAAUAUGAGGAAACCAAAGGGCAACGUGCAGCCUAACCCCAUCCACAUCAUGAGGAGCGACGAGCUGCAGCCCAGGCCCCAUGGACCUUUGGUGAGGCAGCAACCCCUGUGCAAACUCACUGACAGCUACCUUGAAUGUCCAGCCCUGUCCUUUUACACACCAUGGGGGGCUGGAAGGCCCAAGCACAGGGUCAGCAGCACUUUGGGGCCGGAGCCGGAAGUAGGCCCUGGAGCAGCUAAAGUAGCUGUUGUUAACCCUUUGGACUGAGAACUAAGGCUGUAAGGCCACAACUGUUGGAAAUAAUGGGCCAGAACAGGAACUCCCCAAGCUCAGCUGGCUCAGUGCCCACUUCUCCAGAUAGUGAAUGGCUCAAGUUCUUUGGAAAUGUUGUCAAUGUCAGGGCUUUGGCCUUGCCUAUGUCCAGCCCAGGUUCGGGCACAGGCAUGGGGUGGGGUGUGACAUCGGCCACCACCGCUGGAUUCCUGCAAGGAGCUAGAGCAGAAAGCAGCAACUUGCCUUAGGCUUCAAAGGUAGAAAAGGCGGGGCUGGGUGUUCCUCUUCACAGACUUGUAGACUCACACAGUCCUCUGCCCUCACGGAGGGACAUCUGCCCUGCCCAACGCCCAGAUGCUGAUUCGCCAGGUGCCUGGCUGCCGCAGCCUGGUCACCUUUGUCUGGGCUGGAAGGCCACGUCUGAGCCAUCAAAGGAGCCUCAAUGGGAGAGGACGUCAAUGUGCUUCCUCAACCAGAAAGGUGGUUUGAGUUUGGCCAAAGCAGCCCAACCAAAUAAGUAAAAAGCCUGUCAAUGGAAAGAUGGGGGCUGCUGGGAGAUCACACGACAACAAAAUGAGAACCAUUAUCAGUCUCAUCCCAGCCUGAAGGAGGGAGAGCCUUUGAAGCCACAGACAGGCUGAACAGAACUUUCCACCUGAGAGACGCUGGAGAUGGGAGGUCAGGCUGCACUCAGCCCCCACGAAAACUGAUCAAAGCCUGCUGCAGAAGGGAGGGGGCACACAGCUGCAGCUCCAACUCCCCCCACGGGCCGCCCGGGACUUUCUGAAGGCAACGGGGCUGCCUUUGCAGGGGCCUGUGGGAAAACCCAACACAGAUGCACAUUGCAGCCAAACCCCCGAGCACUGCUGGGAGAGGGAAAAAUAAACCCCUCAAUAGUCCUGAAAAGAAAAGGGAGGGAAUCAAAGCACACAAAAAAUGCAAAGACCACCCACCUGAUGAGCGCCUACCUUUCGGAAACAAAUAACUCCUGGCUUCCAAGGCGCACUUCUAAAAGAACAGACGGACUGAACACUCUGCCUCAAAGCUGCGUGCACCAGGGGAUUUGUGGGAAGCCAUGGCCCCUUCUAAGCGUUGGAAGCUUAAUUUAAAGUGUCUUGGCCUCUGUGGUGCCUAUUCAAGGGCUCCCUUGCAUCCGCUCUCCUCCCUGGGAACCCGGGAGACAAGAAUCCUCAUUUAGAAAAGGACAGGAUCCUGUGUGAACUCCUUUAUGGUGGUUCUCUCAGACAGGACAGCCAUAUCUGCCAGGGAACAUUCUAGGGGGCAUCUUUCAGGCUAGAUCCAGGGUGAUAUGGGCCCCUGCGAGGACACCUUGGAAGGCUGUGUUGGUUCUGCCUGGACUGGUCCCUCUGGGACAGCCUCAGCCUACCCUGCCUGGCCUCACCGCUCCUCCCUCUGGCCUGAAGCCUCCUUUGGAGGACUGACACUUCAUGGAGACUGCAGUUUGAUCUUUUCUGAAGUGGAGACAACAAAGCAAAGCCACUUCCACUGCGUGCUCUCUCAAAAGAAUAGGAAAGCUCUUCUCUCCUCCUUGGGAAUGGGUUUGAAGGGAGGGUGGAGUGUGCAAUGAUGGGGAGGCCGUGCAGGUAUUUUGGUGGAGGAGGGUGUGUAUGGAGGAAAUGAGCUGCCCAGAAGCACAGGAGAAAUUGACAUGAGAACAUUUCAGAAGCACUGGUUUAACCAGCUGACAUUCUUUCCAAAAUGGAUGGACAAGCCUUUAGGAGUAGACAGAGGGCCUCAGGGAGGAGAAACAGAGCUGAGGAAGAGGCAUCUCCCUUCCCCCUCCUCCGGAGGCUGAUGCUAGAGAGAAGGCAGCAAGGCCUCACCGAGUGCCUACCCACCACUCACUAGAUUUCUAUCUUUUUAUUACCUUACCCUGGGAGAUAAAUGGGGUUAUCUCCAUU